rnacentral:rRNA from 1 species
GACGAACCGUGCAAACGUUGUUCGGAUUCACUGGGCUUAAAGGGUGCGUAGGUGGGUUGGUAAGUCAGUGGUGAAAUCUCCAGGCUUAACUUGGAAACUGCCAUUGAUACUAUCAAUCUUGAAUACCGUGGAGGUCAGCGGAAUAUGUCAUGUAGCGGUGAAAUGCUUAGAUAUGACAUAGAACACCAAUUGCGAAGGCAGCUGGCUACGCGGAUAUUGACACU